AAAUUGAAGAGUUUGAUCAUGGCUCAGAUUGAACGCUGGCGGCAGGCCUAACACAUGCAAGUCGAGCGGUAGCACAGAGAGCUUGCUCUCGGGUGACGAGCGGCGGACGGGUGAGUAAUGUCUGGGAAACUGCCUGAUGGAGGGGGAUAACUACUGGAAACGGUAGCUAAUACCGCAUAAUGUCGCAAGACCAAAGUGGGGGACCUUCGGGCCUCAUGCCAUCAGAUGUGCCCAGAUGGGAUUAGCUAGUAGGUGGGGUAACGGCUCACCUAGGCGACGAUCCCUAGCUGGUCUGAGAGGAUGACCAGCCACACUGGAACUGAGACACGGUCCAGACUCCUACGGGAGGCAGCAGUGGGGAAUAUUGCACAAUGGGCGCAAGCCUGAUGCAGCCAUGCCGCGUGUGUGAAGAAGGCCUUCGGGUUGUAAAGCACUUUCAGCGGGGAGGAAGGCGAUAAGGUUAAUAACCUCAUCGAUUGACGUUACCCGCAGAAGAAGCACCGGCUAACUCCGUGCCAGCAGCCGCGGUAAUACGGAGGGUGCAAGCGUUAAUCGGAAUUACUGGGCGUAAAGCGCACGCAGGCGGUCUGUCAAGUCGGAUGUGAAAUCCCCGGGCUCAACCUGGGAACUGCAUUCGAAACUGGCAGGCUAGAGUCUUGUAGAGGGGGGUAGAAUUCCAGGUGUAGCGGUGAAAUGCGUAGAGAUCUGGAGGAAUACCGGUGGCGAAGGCGGCCCCCUGGACAAAGACUGACGCUCAGGUGCGAAAGCGUGGGGAGCAAACAGGAUUAGAUACCCUGGUAGUCCACGCCGUAAACGAUGUCGAUUUGGAGGUUGUGCCCUUGAGGCGUGGCUUCCGGAGCUAACGCGUUAAAUCGACCGCCUGGGGAGUACGGCCGCAAGGUUAAAACUCAAAUGAAUUGACGGGGGCCCGCACAAGCGGUGGAGCAUGUGGUUUAAUUCGAUGCAACGCGAAGAACCUUACCUGGUCUUGACAUCCACAGAACUUUCCAGAGAUGGAUUGGUGCCUUCGGGAACUGUGAGACAGGUGCUGCAUGGCUGUCGUCAGCUCGUGUUGUGAAAUGUUGGGUUAAGUCCCGCAACGAGCGCAACCCUUAUCCUUUGUUGCCAGCGGUCCGGCCGGGAACUCAAAGGAGACUGCCAGUGAUAAACUGGAGGAAGGUGGGGAUGACGUCAAGUCAUCAUGGCCCUUACGACCAGGGCUACACACGUGCUACAAUGGCAUAUACAAAGAGAAGCGACCUCGCGAGAGCAAGCGGACCUCAUAAAGUAUGUCGUAGUCCGGAUUGGAGUCUGCAACUCGACUCCAUGAAGUCGGAAUCGCUAGUAAUCGUAGAUCAGAAUGCUACGGUGAAUACGUUCCCGGGCCUUGUACACACCGCCCGUCACACCAUGGGAGUGGGUUGCAAAAGAAGUAGGUAGCUUAACCUUCGGGAGGGCGCUUACCACUUUGUGAUUCAUGACUGGGGUGAAGUCGUAACAAGGUAACCGUAGGGGAACCUGCGGUUGGAUCACCUCCUUACCUUAAAGAA
rnacentral:rRNA from 1 species